rnacentral:lncRNA from 1 species
GCAUCGAAAACUUUAUGUAAGCUGUCCAUUAGAAGAUUACUAUCCUAAAAAAAUUUUAUUACUCAAAAAUUAUGAUUAUCACUCCCAGUACAUUGCAGACUAGAUAUAAUUUGAAAGGUAUAGAAGUUAUCGAGGAUUUUUCAAUAACAUUCGAAAGAAUAAAUCUAUCUGAUCUUAGAUUGGUGGCAAGAUUAAAUACCGAUAUACCAA